rnacentral:rRNA from 1 species
AACGGCCAUACCAUGUUGAAAACACCGGUUCUCGUCUGAUCACCGUAGUUAAACAACAUUGGGCAUGGUUAGUACUUGGAUGGGUGACCGCCUGGGAACACCACGUGCUGUU